rnacentral:rRNA from 1 species
AGAGUUUGAUUCUGGCUCAGGAUGAACGCUAGCUACGAGGCUUAACACAUGCAAGUCGAGGGGCAGCGAGAAGAAGCUUGCUUUCUUUGUCGGCGACCGGCGCGACGGGUGAGUAACGCGUAUCCAACCCUUCCCUUAGUAGAGGAUAGCCCGGCGAAAGUCGGAUUAAUACUCUAUGUUAUUCGUUGAGGACAUCUGAAAUGAAUCAAAGGUUUACCGCUAAGGGAUGGGGAUGCGUCUGAUUAGGUUGUUGGCGGGGUAACGGCCCACCAAGCCCACGAUCAGUAGGGGUUCUGAGAGGAAGGUCCCCCACAUUGGAACUGAGACACGGUCCAAACUCCUACGGGAGGCAGCAGUGAGGAAUAUUGGUCAAUGGACGGAAGUCUGAACCAGCCAAGUAAGCGUGCAGGAUGACGGCCCUAUGGGUUGUAAACUGCUUUUGUAUGGGAAUAAAGUGCGGGACGUGUCCCGUUUUGUAUGUACCAUAAGAAUAAGGACCGGCUAAUUCCGUGCCAGCCGCCGC